UUCGUGGAAUUGAACUUUAUAUAUUGAUGAAUAUUGUGCAUACAACCUCUAGUAUUUACUCAUUUGAUGCUUUCUCUCGAAUACAAGUUAAAACUUAUAACUUUUUGAUCUUCGAUCUUUAGGAUAUUGUAGUUGCAAGUUGAUUUGAACUUCGAUCUUAUGGAACCCAAGGAAAGUUUAAUCUUCCAACUUUCAGAAGUUGUUGAUCUCCAGGUUGAUAUGAACUUUGACGUCUUGAGAGCUUGUAGAAGUUUGAAUCUUCAAUUCUUCAGUACUUCAGAGGUUCAAUU
rnacentral:lncRNA from 1 species